rnacentral:tRNA from 1 species
GGGGAUGUAGCUCAGUUAGCAGAGUGUUUGCUCAGCAGGUACAAAGCCCUGGGUUUGAAUCCCAAUAUC